rnacentral:rRNA from 1 species
UACGUAGGGGGCAAGCGUUAUCCGGAUUUACUGGGUGUAAAGGGAGCGUAGACGGCUGUGCAAGCCAGAUGUGAAAGCCUGGGGCUCAACCCCGGGACUGCAUUUGGAACUGUGUAGCUGGAGUGUCGGAGAGGCAGGCGGAAUUCCUAGUGUAGCGGUGAAAUGCGUAGAUAUUAGGAGGAACACCAGUGGCGAAGGCGGCCUGCUGGACGAUGACUGACGUUGAGGCUCGAAAGCGUGGGGAGCAAACAGG